GGCGGGGGGUCCCUCCCUCCCCGUUUUAUUCCCGUUUGCGCUUCCUUCUCCUCUUACUCCUUCCUUUUGUUCUUGCUCUGUCUCUCUCAGGUUCGCCCCCCGCGUCCCUCUGCUGUUGUUACCCCACCCCUCGCUCCCUCCCGUGCCCCGCCCCCUCCUGGCACUGCGGAGCCGCAGACGUGACCCGAGCGGACUCGCUUCCCCGCAGCUCCAGCCUCUCGCCGUAGAGUCGCAUGUCCUCGAUCCAGAACCUCCAAUCCUUCGACCCCUUUGCUGAUGCAACAAAGGGUGACGACUUACUCCCGGCGGGGACUGAGGAUUACAUUCAUAUAAGGAUCCAGCAACGAAACGGAAGAAAGACACUAACAACUGUUCAGGGAAUUGCAGAUGAUUAUGACAAGAAGAAACUUGUGAAAGCUUUCAAAAAGAAAUUUGCUUGUAAUGGUACUGUGAUUGAACAUCCUGAAUACGGUGAAGUUAUCCAGCUGCAAGGUGACCAGAGGAAGAACAUUUGCCAGUUUCUCUUGGAGAUUGGCAUUGUCAAGGAAGAACAACUGAAAGUUCAUGGUUUCUAGUAUACCUGUACACUUAUGAAGAACCCUGCAGUAUUGGUCUUACCUAACCUGGCUCUUCUGUGAAAAAUGAAUCUUUGCAGUGAAUGGACUUCCCUGUUACCUGAACAUUUACAAUUUGAUUCAGAUUUGCAUGACUGCAUGAAACAGAUUUCUGAGUUCAGAUAUGAACCCUUAUGGCACUAGCAACAAUUAGGGGAGCAUUAUAUGACAGUUUCUUUCUCCGUCUGGUCUAGACAAUUCCACCUAUAAGAAUCCAGUGUCCAGUCUCUCAGUCCCCACAAAUUGUGCCUGGUGUUACAGAUCUUAAUUGUUCAACAGAAAGGAUGUUCCAGAACAUUGUAACUACUAAGGUAUAAUGUGUUCAGGAGGAAGGAAUGCCUGCUGCAAAACGCAAAAUACCUACACCAAAUGAAAAAAACAAAAAUAAGUCUUAUGCAAGUCUUGCAGAUUAGCAGAAUAAAAUCAUUCUACUGCAAGUUUAUCUAGUCCUGAUUCUUAGGUGCUAAAGUAAUUAAUCUAUUGGGGGUACAUAGCACUUUGUGAUUUUCAGUUUAUCAUAUGCCAGAAAAACUGAUGUUCCCAUUUAAAGCUUGUUCUCCUGCCCAAGAGGAAAAACAAGCAUUAUCUUCUCCUAUUUCCCUGAUAUUACAUGAGUACUUCUAGUGGGCUUUGAAUUGGAGAUUAACAAAUGACUAGCACAUCUCGUGUUACUGAGUCAGUCUUCAUUUCAGAUGGCGUUCCAUUAAUUUCUACUACCUAAGCUUGAGUCAUUUCUCUAUAGUCAUUCUUCUUGGAAUAAAUAAGAAAAACCUUUUGUUCAUCCUCCUCAUUUAAAAAUCUGUUCUUGCAGUUGAUAGGUGGCUUGGGUUUUGUGCUUUAGGGGAGAUGCUUGUGUUUUGACCUUUGAAGGGCAAAAUUGGGAGAAAGUAAGAAGUAACACAUUUGAAGUUUAAAGAGAUGAGAUUUGUUGUGGCAACAAACCAUGUAAUCUUUCUAGAAGAAAAGCAGAAAUUUUUGUCCUUGAGUGUUUUAAACCAGAACAGUGUCUCUCAGAUUGUAGUUAGCCUUGUUACAAGCCCAAACCUCUUUUUAUGUUCUAGAUGAAAGAUUUUUACAAUUUCAUGUUUUGUUAUCUUACUCUGAAACUUCUUUGUCAGAGUUAAACUUAUUUGGAAUACAUAUUCAUGUUUCAAGAAUGCUGAAAAUGAAGGCUUUGGAAAAGAACUGUGUAACGUACUGCCAUGAAAAUUUGUUUUCACAAUGAAGGCAGGUUUCAGUCUUUCAUCUGUGCCAGCAGUAAAGGAUGUGGCCUAUAAUUGUCAAGGCAGUAAAAGGGAGCUUAUAAUAGAGAGCACUUUUGAAAUUCACUAGUAGGACUUGAGACUGGCCAAGCUCAGACUGCAAAGGGUGGUGCUUUCUUUUUGUUGGAAUGUUGUGAAGUUUGUGCCCUUCAGAUCUGCAAAUCAAGAUGGCCUUCCUAGUGAUACUUAGGCUUAACCACAAGCUGUUAUUGGAUGUAGAAACUGUUUUUCAAAUUCACAGCCUUAUGCAUAGUUAUAUUAGGCUGUUGUAGCUGACUCUGAGUUGAUACACUGGAGUAAGGUGUUGCAUAAAUAAAUUCAUUAAACUGACUGUUCUGAAUCUGCAUCUACUUAAUGCAGCUAUGAGCAUGAAACCCUCACUUGCCAAACGGUGGCAGCAGUCUUUAUUAGUAGAAUAUGAGAUUUAGUAAUUUAAAUCUGUAAACUGCCUACUUUGCCUACUUCCUCUUGCUGUGUAAAUUAUCAGGCCCUUGACCAUCACCUGCUAAAUUUGACCAUGUGUCUCAGAGAUGAGCAUGAGGAGCACAGUGAUAGGCAGAUAAUAAUUUUCUGAAGUGGAAGAACCUUUGAAAAGAGGAAUACCUGGGUUGUGUGUAUGUGUUCAGUGGCUUUGCUUAAACCUUGGUUCCUGCACUGCAUUCUUGCACAGUCUAAAUGAAAACCAUUUUGCUUUGGAGAGAGAGGAGGGAACUCCAGUAAAAAAAAAAAAACUGCCUUAGGAAAUAUAUUUAUCUCUGAAGUCUGUUUUUAUUAACUUAAUUCCUGGACUGCAAGACCUCUGUAACAUUGUUUCUGUAUCUUUUAAAAAUCCUAGUUAAAACUUCCUUGAGAGUUUGGCAUUUAAUGUUCUAAAUACAUCUAAAGCCAUAAGAAUUGUUGAAGCUUAAGUUUCAAAUAUUAAUAGUAAUAGUUAGGCAGAAUUCUUAAUUUUGUCCUAUACUGCCACCCUGCUUAUAAUUGGUGUGUAGCUGCCUUGCAGAUGCAUGUGUUAUUUAGAGUGUGUAGUUUUUGUAACAUCUUGUCUAACAUGCUGCAGCCUCUUACAGGCCGUACUACUCUAAUUUUACAGUGUAGGAUAGAUGUUCCUUGAGUUCCAGUCAGCAAUUAUUUUCCUUAAUUGUUCUUGGAAGGCUCUAGUGGUGCAGUAGUUCCUCAUACCAUGUGAAAAUAUAUACAAAGUCAGUAUUUAGCCAGUUAGAGAAUGGGGGAGGCCUUUUUUAUAGAUCACUUUGGGACACAGUAGGGGUUACUGUCCCUUUUAUCUCUUCAGUGUUGAUUAGUGUCACUGAGUGUUCCUCUAACUAGUGUGCUGUUGCUACUAGGGAAAUGCAAGUGGUCUUAGAGGGUCAUGUGUAUUUAAGUGCUAUGACUCUUUGUACAUCCAUACUCCAUUUAGUUAGGAAUGUGUCCUCCACACAUGGCAACAUGAAGGUUGUUUUCCAGUUACCAGAUCAAAAGCUCUUGAGAUGAAUAAGGGGAAAAUGGCAUAGCUGUUUUAUGUUUGCUGUGUAGAUGUUUCAUGCCUACUGUUUUCAGUCUGCAUUAAAAAAACAUAAUCUAAGAGGAUUUGUACUUGGCUUGCCUUUUUAAAGUUUACUACAUGCCUGUCAUUGAUCUCUUAAUGAACAAGUCUUAACCUGUACUGGAGUAUUGCUACAGAGCUGAGACAACAAAAGCUUUUGAAAUAAAGUGUGCAAAUGUUAUUUGAUAUAUGGUUUUCUAAAAGAAAUGGAAUUUUAUGCUGGUGUUAAGAAGGGGUUUUUUUUCUUGAUGGAAGAUAAAAGCAUAAUUUAAUAGUGAUGUGUGUGAUCCUCUUGUUAAGUGGCUUUGAUUUCUUCAAGAAAUGUUAAAUUUCUACUAUAAUCUCUACCGAGCAACUUAAAAAUACUGUGACUUGUCCUGGAAUAUCAUAUCUCUAAAACAAGAUGAUCAUAUUGGCUUGAGGUCUAAAAUUUUGUGUAGAAGAGAAUCAUCUAAUUUCUUGAAUAAGCAAAACACACAGUGUUUUAAGAUGAAACCAGUGUUCAAGUCUGGUCUCAGCUAUUUUAGAAUGUCUUGCAUCUGUGAAAUGUGGCAGCACAUUUCUGAAGUUAAUUUGGGGUCUGAUUAAAAGUACUUGUGUGUACAAUAAA